UAUUGGCUUUAUCGAAGCUAUGACUUUUUCGUAAAUAAAAUGUCGUGGUCAAAAGUAAGCCAAUAGUAAAAAACUCUUUUUUAGGUCACUGGCUAAGUUACUGUUAUACUUUUUCAGUAUCACCCAAAAAGAGUACAAUU